UACGUAGGUGGCAAGCGUUGUUCGGAAUCACUGGGCAUAAAGCGCGCGUAGGCGGUCUGUUAAGUUGGAUGUGAAAGCCCUCGGCCCAACCGAGGAACGGCGUCCAAAACUGGCGGACUUGAGGCUUGGAGAGGUGCAUGGAAUUCCUGGUGGAGCGGUGAAAUGCGUUGAUAUCAGGAGGAACACCGGAGGCGAAGGCGAUGCACUGGCCAAGCACUGACGCUGAGGUGCGAAAGCUAGGGGAGCAAACGGG
rnacentral:misc_RNA from 1 species